GACGAACGCUGGCGGCGUGCUUAACACAUGCAAGUCGAACGGUAAGGCCCUUCGGGGUACACGAGUGGCGAACGGGUGAGUAACACGUGGGUAAUCUGCCCUGCACAUCGGGAUAAGCCUGGGAAACUGGGUCUAAUACCGAAUAGGACCACAGGACACAUGUCCUGUGGUGGAAAGCUUUUGCGGUGUGGGAUGGGCCCGCGGCCUAUCAGCUUGGUGGUGGGGUGAUGGCCCACCAAGGCGACGACGGGUAGCCGGCCUGGGAGGGUGUCCGGCCACACGGGGACUGAGAUACGGCCCAGACUACGGCGGAGGGCAGCAGUGGGGAAAAUUGGACAAAGGGCGAAAGACUGAUGCCGCGACGGCGCGUGGGGGAUGACGGCCGUCAGGUUGUAAACCUCUUUCACCAUCGACGUAGGUCCGGGUGUUCUCGGGCUGACGGUAGGUGGAGAAGAAGCACCGGCCAACUACGUG
rnacentral:rRNA from 1 species